CGGACCAGUCAGCAAAUAAUGACUGCCCUUGGUCAUCCCUGGGAAGAUAAAGGAUUAUUAAAAGAGGGCCCGGCAGCUUGCAGAUUACACCUGCUACAUUUGGAGUGGAAAGAGGCUUCUCUGUCAGUGCCCCUUGCCCCCAUGGAAAGACACUAAUAGCAAUCUUCAACCAUAAUUGUUUGGUCCAUUUUGUUCUGGACCAAGUUUGCAUAAGUUUUAAGCCUGAAAGUCAAAGAAAAACGAAAUCUUACACGUCAACAUGGCCUUUCCAUCACUUGAAAAAGGCACUGCCUCGUAAACACAGCGGUCUUGCUCAGAGCAAUCUUGAGCUCUGAGCUGUGAAGAAUUGCUGUAGGUAGGAAGAAACGUUGGCUCUGGAAUUCAAUUAACUGUCAGCAUUGCUGUUCGAGUCAGGAUGACUCACUCCUCUUCAGCAAAUGGGCAUGGGGGCUGUGAGCCUCCAAGAUUAAUGGUGAUU
rnacentral:lncRNA from 1 species